GACGAACGCUGGCGGCGUGCUUAACACAUGCAAGUCGAACGGAAAGGCCCUGCUUUUGUGGGGUGCUCGAGUGGCGAACGGGUGAGUAUCACGUGAGUAACCUGCCCUUGACUUUGGGAUAACUUCAGGAAACUGGGGCUAAGACAGUAUAGGAUCUCCUGCUGCAUGGUGGGGGUGGGAUAUUUUCGGCGGGUGGGGAUGGACUCGCGGCUUAUCAGCUUGUUGGUUGGGGAGUGGCUUACCAAGGCUUUGACGGGUAGCCGGCCUGAGAGGGUGACCGGCCACAUUGGGACUGAGAUACGGCCCAGUCUCCUACGGGAGGCAGCAGUGGGGAAUAUUGCACAAUGAGCGGAAGCCUGAUGCAGCAACGCCGCGUGCGGGAUGCCGGCCUUCGGGUUGUAAACCGCUUUCGCCUGUGACGAAGCGUGAGUGACGGUAAUGGGUAAAGAAGCACCGGCUAACUACGUG
rnacentral:rRNA from 1 species